GACGAACGCUGGCGGCGUGCUUAACACAUGCAAGUCGAACGGAAAGGCCCUGCUUGCAGGGUACUCGAGUGGCGAACGGGUGAGUAACACGUGGGUGAUCUGCCCUGCACUUCGGGAUAAGCCUGGGAAACUGGGUCUAAUACCGGAUAGGAGCCAUUUUUAGUGUGAUGGUUGGAAAGUUUUUUCGGUGUAGGAUGAGCUCGCGGCCUAUCAGCUUGUUGGUGGGGUAAUGUCCUACCAAGGCGGCGACGGGUAGCCGGCCUGAGAGGGUGGACGGCCACAUUGGGACUGAGAUAAGGCCCAGACUCCGACGGGAGGGAGCAGGGGGGAAUAUUGCACAAUGGGCGCAAGCCUGAUGCAGCGACGCCGCGUGGGGGAUGACGGCCUUCGGGUUGUAAACUCCUUUCGCUAGGGACGAAGCUUUUUGUGACGGUACCUAGAUAAGAAGCACCGGCUAACUACGUG
rnacentral:rRNA from 1 species